UCCCCCCACUAGGGAACCUGCGGAGGGAUCAUUGCUGGAAGCGCCGCA
rnacentral:rRNA from 1 species